GGCCGCGUGGCGAAUUGGAUAACGCGUCUGCCUACGAUGCAGAAGAUUGCAGGUUCGAAUCCUGCCGUGGUCG
rnacentral:tRNA from 1 species